rnacentral:rRNA from 1 species
CUUGCUUCUCUUGAGAGCGGCGGACGGGUGAGUAAUGCCUAGGAAUCUGCCUGGUAGUGGGGGAUAACGUUCGGAAACGGACGCUAAUACCGCAUACGUCCUACGGGAGAAAGCAGGGGACCUUCGGGCCUUGCGCUAUCAGAUGAGCCUAGGUCGGAUUAGCUAGUUGGUGGGGUAAUGGCUCACCAAGGCGACGAUCCGUAACUGGUCUGAGAGGAUGAUCAGUCACACUGGAACUGAGACACGGUCCAGACUCCUACGGGAGGCAGCAGUGGGGAAUAUUGGACAAUGGGCGAAAGCCUGAUCCAGCCAUGCCGCGUGUGUGAAGAAGGUCUUCGGAUUGUAAAGCACUUUAAGUUGGGAGGAAGGGUUGUAGAUUAAUACUCUGCAAUUUUGACGUUACCGACAGAAUAAGCACCGGCUAACUCUGUGCCAGCAGCCGCGGUAAUACAGAGGGUGCAAGCGUUAAUCGGAAUUACUGGGCGUAAAGCGCGCGUAGGUGGUUUGUUAAGUUGGAUGUGAAAUCCCCGGGCUCAACCUGGGAACUGCAUUCAAAACUGACUGACUAGAGUAUGGUAGAGGGUGGUGGAAUUUCCUGUGUAGCGGUGAAAUGCGUAGAUAUAGGAAGGAACACCAGUGGCGAAAGCGACCACCUGGACUAAUACUGACACUGAGUGCGAAAGCGUGGGGAGCAAACAGGAUUAGAUACCCUGGUAGUCCACGCCGU